UACGUAGGUGGCAAGCGUUGUCCGGAUUUAUUGGGUUUAAAGGGUGCGUAGGCGGUCCUAUAAGUCAGUUGUGAAAUACGGCAGCUUAACUGUCGAGGUGCAAUUGAUACUGCAGGACUUGAGUACAGACGAGGUAGGCGGAAUUGACGGUGUAGCGGUGAAAUGCUUAGAUACAAUCAAGAACUCCGAUUGCGUAGGCAGCUAACUAGGCUGUAACUGACGCUGAGGCACGAAAGCGUGGGGAGCGAACAGG
rnacentral:rRNA from 1 species